UACGUAUGGUCCGAGCGUUGUCCGGAAUGACUGGGCGUAAAGGGUGCGUAGGCGGACAUGUAUGUCGAGUGUGAAAUCCCAGGGCUUAACCUUGGAACUGCGCUCGAAACUGCAUGUCUAGAGUAUGUCAGAGGUGGGCGGAAUUCCCGGAGUAGCGGUGAAAUGCGUAGAGAUCGGGAAGAACACCAGUGGCGAAGGCGGCUCACUGGGACAUAACUGACGCUGAGGCACGAAAGCGUGGGGAGCGAACGGG
rnacentral:rRNA from 1 species